GAAAACUGGAACAAUACAGAAAAUAUUAGCAUGGUCCCUGCACAGGAUGACAACACAAUUCGCGAAGCAUUCCAUAUUUUU
rnacentral:snRNA from 1 species